rnacentral:snoRNA from 12 species
GGGUCAUUUCAAAGAGGGCUCCUGAGGCUAUAAAACCAGGAGCUCUUACGCAGUGACCGAAGACUGAAGUUCUCUAUAGGAUGCCAUAGUUGCUCAGUAAUAGCACUAUGUUUUCCUGGGGAGAUACAAGA